rnacentral:hammerhead_ribozyme from 1 species
AUCAAGCUGACAAGUCUCAAAAUAGGACGAAACGCGCAUCCUAGAU